GUUUUAAUAGUUUAAAUGAAAAUAUUGGUCUUGUAAACCAAAGAUAAGAAAAUUCUUUUAAAACA
rnacentral:tRNA from 1 species